rnacentral:rRNA from 1 species
CAGUCGCCGCGGUAACACGUAGGGUGCAAGCGUUAAUCGGAAUUACUGGGCGUAAAGCGUGCGCAGGCGGUUUGUUAAGACAGAUGUGAAAUCCCCGGGCUCAACCUGGAAACUGCAUUUGUGACUGGCAAGCUAGAGUGUGGCAGAGGGGGGUGGAAUUCCGCGUGUAGCAGUGAAAUGCGUAGAUAUGCGGAGGAACACCGAUGGCGAAGGCAGCCCCCUGGGCCAACACUGACGCUCAUGCACGAAAGCGUGGGGAGCAAACAGGAUUAGAGACCCGAGUAGUCCCUGUCUCUUAUAC